rnacentral:rRNA from 1 species
AUUGAACGCUGGCGGCAUGCUUUACACAUGCAAGUCGAACGGCAGCGCGGGCUUCGGCCUGGCGGCGAGUGGAGAACGGGUGAGUAAUACAUCGGAACGUGCCCAGUAGUGGGGGAUAGCUCGGCGAAAGCCGGAUUAAUACCGCAUACGACCUGAGGGUGAAAGCGGGGGAUCUUCGGACCUCGCGCUAUUGGAGCGGCCGAUGGCAGAUUAGCUAGUUGGUGGGGUAAAGGCCUACCAAGGCGACGAUCUGUAGCUGGUCUGAGAGGACGACCAGCCACACUGGGACUGAGACACGGCCCAGACUCCUACGGGAGGCAGCAGUGGGGAAUUUUGGACAAUGGGCGAAAGCCUGAUCCAGCAAUGCCGCGUGUGUGAUGAAGGCCUUCGGGUUGUAAAGCACUUUUGGCGGGAACGAAAAGGACUGUGCCAAUACCACGGUUCGAUGACGGUACCCGCAGAAUAAGCACCGGCUAACUACGUG